CCCCAGUAUAGUCACCAAGUUUUCAUCUCUGUACAGGUCUUGACCAAAGUCAGGCACACAGAUUGUAACAUUUUUCCCAUGUUCAUCUAGAACUUGAAAAGAAAAAACAAAGUCAUCACAGUCAAGUACAAAGGCCAGUUGUAACGCACAGAAGCACUCAUUUUGGGAAAAUUCAGGUAGCUGUGGUGUACCUCCUUAGAACAGUGAACACUUAUCACUGGAAACUUCUACUCUACAGGCUGUUUCCAUGCAGACUGGAUUUCUGCUCUUUCAAAGAACAUUCUCCCACAUCAUCACAUCCUUGGAACAAGACCCUCAGAUUCCAGCUCAGUGCCAUGGGGCUCAAACAGAUCCAGAACCUAAGGAAAGAGUCUUGCUCGAAGUCAGGUGCAUUUUUCAGUUGACAAGGCAGCCUCUAAAGAGAGGUAGGGUGCAGAUACCAAGCAGUGCUGAGGUGAAUCAACAGCCAACAAUAGCUCCUAAACUAGUUGAGAAGUCAUUUUGCUGUAAGUGAUAUGAUAAUCGUGGUAUCUUUCUGUCUGUAACUUGGAAACUCCUGAGGUGUGUUUUUUUUUUAAUGUGAGUGGCUACAUGUGAUAUUGUGAAAUAUAUAUUUGGUCUUCAUUCGCAUUUACUUGCAUGCAACUCCUAAAAUCUUUGAAAUCUCCAAAAUGGUGUCUUUUUAUAUGUUAAUGACUGACUAAUGGCUGGCAGCCCCUAGGUAGCCUCAGGAUGGGGGCUGGUCACCAGAAAGACCAAGGUAGGAUUAGAGGGCUGGGACUUUCAGACCCACUCUCCAAACUCCAGGAAUGGGAGGAAUGGUAGUUGAUCACCAAGGGCCAAUGGUUUAAUCAUUUAAUCAAUCAUGCCUGUGUAAUGAAGUCUCCAUAAAAGGCCCAAAAGGACAUGGUUCAGAAAGCUUCCUGAGAGCUGGAGGCUUACAGGAAGGUGAACACCACCUCAUCCACAUGUUAGGAACCCAGCCACACCAACUGCAUGGAGACAGCUCAGGACCCUUUGAGACCUUGCCUUAUAUAUAUUUUUACCUGCCUGUUUAUUCAUAUUCUUUAAAAUAUCCUUUGUAAUAAAUCAGUAAAGAUAAGUAUUUCCUGAGAUCUGUGAGCCACUCUAUCAAAUUAAUCCAUCCCAAAGAAGGGGUAACUGUGGGAGCCCUAACAGUUGGUCAGAAGUUCUGGAGGGCCGGACUUGUGACCAGUGGGAAUGGUAGGGCUGUUUUGUGGAAUUGAGCCUUCGACCUGUGGGAUCUGACCUUAUCUCCAGGUAGAGCAUCCGAAUUGGAUUGGAGGACACCCAACUGAUGUCCACUGCCUGCUUGCUGGUGGGGAGAAAUCUCCACUUAUUUUAGUGUCACAGAAACCUUCUGUGUUGACUGUUGUAGUGUGAAACAGUAAGAAAAACUGAGUUAUUCUAAACACUACGUAACAAAGAUUCCUAUAAUAUAACCAUCAGUGGUAAUUUACCUUUUACCUAACAUGGAGUCUUCCAUUUGGAACACCCAACCUAGGUCUGACUGCCAACUUUGCCACCAAAGCAAGUAACAUAAAGUAACACUCUAGAAACCACUUUACAAACGUGCAUAUUUCAAGUGUCUGAAGUGAGACUAAAAUUAUGACUAGUAUUUGCACUUGAAACAGUAAACGUAACUAUGUAUGCUGUGGUUUAAGGAAUCUUUUAUUAUUUGUAUAAAUUUAUGGGGUACAAGUGUAACUUUUUUACAUGUAGUGGUGAAGUCUUGGCUUUUAGUGUAUCUAUCACCAAAUAAUGUGUAUUCUACCCAUUAAGUAAUUUCUCACCAUCCAUCCCCUCCCUCCUUCCUAUGUUUGAGUCUUCACUAUCAUUCCACACUCAUGUCCAUGUGUACACAUUAUUUAGCUCCCACUUAAAAGUGAGAACAUGCAGUAUUUGUCUGUGUCUGCUUGUUUCACUUAAGAUAAUGGCUUCCAGUUCCAUCCAUGUUGCUACAAAAGACAGGAUUUCAUUCUUUUUUAUGGCUGAAUAGUAUUCCAUUGUGUGGAGAUAGAUAUAUAUAUGUGUGUGUGUGUGUAUAUAUAUGUGUAUAUAUAUAUGUGUGUGUAUAUAUAUGUAUAUAUGUGUGUAUAUGUAUAUAUAUACGUGUAUAUAUACGUGUAUAUAUAUACACACGUGUAUAUAUAUAUAUGUAUGUAUGUAUAUAUAUAAAAAUCACAUUUUCUUUAUCCAAUCAUCUGUUGAUGGACACUUAAAGGUGAUUCCUUAUCUUUGCUAUUGUGAACAGUGCUGCGAUAAACACAGAGGUGCAGUUAUCUUUUUGAUAUAAUGAUUUAUUUUCCUUUUUGUAGCUACCCAGUAGUGGGAUUGCUGAAUCAAAUGGUAGCUCUAUUUUUAGUUCUCUGAGAAAUCUCCCACUGUUUCCCAUAGAAGCUAUGCUAAUUUACAUUCCCAUCAACAGUAUAAGUGUUUCCGUUUCUCCACAUCCUUACCAACAUCUGUUACUUUUUGUCUUUUUAAUAAUAGCCACUCUGACUGGUGUGAAAUGACAUCUAGUUAUGGUUUUAAUUUGCAUUUCUCUGAUGAUUAGCAAUGUUGAGCAUUUUUUUCAAAUGCCUGUUGGCCAUUUAUAUGUCUUCUUUAGAAAAAAAAUGAAAUGUCUAUUCAUGUUCUUUGACUACUUUUUAAUGGGAUUAUUUGGUGUUUUUUGUUGUUGAAUUGUGUUCCUUGUAAAUUCUGCAUAUUGCUCCCCUAUAAGACACAGUUUGCAAAUAUUUUCUCUGAUUCUGCAGGUUGUCUCUUCACUCUGUUGAUUAUUUCUUUUGCUGUACAGAAGCUAAUUAGAUUAACAUAGUUCCAUUUGUCUGGUUUUGUUUUUGUUGUCUGUGCUUUUGAGGUCUUAGUCAUGAAUUAUUUCCCUUGAGCAAUAUCCAGAAGAGUUUUCCUAGGUUUUCUUCUAGCAUUUUUACAGUUUCAGGUCUUACAUGUAAGUCUUUAAUCCACCUUUUGUUGAUUUUUGUUGAUUUUUGUAUGUGGUGAGAGACAGGGGUUCGGUAGGGGUUCAGCAUAUGGAAAUCCAAAUUUUCCAGGACCACUUAUUGAAAAGGGUAUCCUUUCCCCAGUGUGUGUUCUUGUCAACUUUGUCAAAGACCAGAUGGCUAUAAAUAUGUGGCUUUACUUCUGGGUUCUCUAUGUGGUUCCAUGGAUCUAUUCUUAUACAAAUAUCAUGCUGUUUUGCUUACUGUAGCUUUGUAGCAUAAUUUGAAGAAGGGACUCCUCCAGCUUUGAAGUGUGAUUCCUCCAAGUUUUGUUCUUUUUGCUUAGGAUUGCUUUAGCUAUUCUGGCUCUGUUGUUUCUAUACAAAUUUUAGGAUGUUUUUCUGUGAAAAAUGUCAUUGGUAUUUUGAUAGGGAUAGCGCUAAAUCUGUAAGACUGCUUUAGGCAAUAUGGUCAUUUUAACAAUAUUUAUUCUCCUGAUCCAUGAGCAUGGGAUGUCUUUCCAUUCGCUUGCAUCCUUUUUAUUUUUAUUUUUUUGAGACGUGGUCUUGCUCUUUCACCCAGUCUGGAGUACAGUGGCCUGAUCAUAGCUCACCAUAACCUCAAGCUCCUGGGCUCAGGUGAUCCUCCAACCUCGGACCCAUGAGUAGCUAGAACUACAGGUGCAUGCCACCACACUCAGCUAAUUUGUAAAUUUUUUGUAGAGAUGGGAUUUCCCUAUGUUGCUCAGGCCGGCCUCAAAUUCCUGGCCUCAAGCCAUCCUCCCACCUUGGCCUCCCAAAGUGCUGGGAUCACAGGGAUGUGAAACUACACAUGGCCCCUCCUUUUAAGUUUUUCAUCAAUGUUUAGUAGUUUUCAUUGUAAAGAUCUUUCACGUCCUUCGUUAAAUUUAUUCCUAGUUAUUUUAUUUUUUGUAGCCAUUGUAAAUGGGACUGGCUUCUUGAUUUGGUUCUCUGCUAGAUGAUUACUGGUGUAUAGAAACACUACUGACUUUUUUUUUUUGAGGCGGAGUUUCACUCUGUUGUCCAGGCUGGGGUGCAGGGGUGCUGUAGUGCGAUCUUGGCUAGUGAGCCAAGAUCCCUCCCCCUCCCAGGUUCAAGUGAUUCUCCUGUCUCAGCCUCCCAAGUAGUUGGGAUUACAGAUGUGCACACCACUAUGACUGGCUAAUUUUUGUAUUUUUAGUAGACACGAGGUCUCACCAUGUUGGCCAAGCUGGUCUCAAGCUCCCGACCUCAAAUGAUCCACCCACCCUGCCCUCCCAAAGUGCUGGGAUUACAGAUGUGAGCCAAUGCACCCAGCCAAAACACUACUAAUUUUUGUAUGUUGACUUUGUAUACUGCAAUAUUACUGAAUUCAUUACUCAAAUCUAACAGUGUUUUGGUGGAGCCUUUUGGGUUUUCUAGAUAUAGAAUCACAUCAUCAACAAACACGACAAUUUGACUUCCUCUCUUCCAAUUUGGAUACCUUUUAUUUCUUCCUCUUGCCUGAGUGUCCUGGCUAGGACUUCCAGUACUAUGGUGAAUAGGCAUGGUGAAGGCAGGCACCCUUAUCUUGGUUCAGUUCUCAAAAGUAAUGCUUCCCAUUUUUCCCCACUCAGUAUGAUACUGGCUGCGGGCUUAUCAUAUAUGACCUUUAUUAUUUUAAGUUGUAUUCCUUCUAUUAUUUUAAGUUAUGUUCCUACUUUAUUGAGGGUUUUUUUUUUUACCAUGAAAAGAUGCUGAAUUUUAACAAAUGCUUUUUCUGCAUCUAUUGAAAUGAUCAUAUGGUUUUUAUCUUUAAUUCUGUUUAUGUAAUAUGUAAUGUAUGAUGUAUCAUAUUUAUUAAUUUGCAUAUGUUGAACCAUUCUUGCAUCCAUGGUAUAAUACCCACUUGAUCAUGGUAUAUUAUCUUCUGAUGUACUAUUACAUCGUGUUUGCUAGUAUUUUGUUGAAGAUUUUUCCAUCUAUGUUCAUCAGGGGUAUUGGUCUGUAAUUUUUUUUUGUUGUGUCCUUGUCUGGUUUUGGUUUUCAGGGUGAUAUAUCUGGCCUUGUAUAAUGAGUCAGGGAGAGUUCUCUCCUCCUCCAUUUUUUGGCACAAUUUCAGGAGGAUUGGUAUUAGUUCUCCCUUAUAUGUUUGGUAGGAUUUGGCUAUGACUCCAUUCGGUCCUGGCUUUUUCUUAUUGGAAGAUUUUUUAAAUCACUGAUUCAAUAUCACUACUCAUUAUUGGCCUGUUUAGGAUUUCUAUUCCUUCUUGCUUUCCAGAAAUGUAUCCAUUUCCUCUAGCUUUUCUAGUUUGUAAGUAUAUGGAAGUUCAUAAUAGUCUGUAAUGAUCUUUUGUACUUUUGUGGUUAUUAUUGUGAUUUUUCCUUUUUCAUUUCUAAUUUUGUUGAUUUGGUCUUCUCUCUUCUUGGUUAGUCCAGGGGCUUAUCAAUUUUGUUUAUCUUUUCAACAAACCACCUUUUUUUUGUUUUGUUGAUCCUCUGUAUUGUUCUCAUGGGUUUUUUUGGGGGGGAGGGGGGUCUUUAUUUUAUUUAGUUCCUUAUUUUAUUUUAUUUUUUUGAGACAAAGUCCCUGUCUAUUGCCCUGGGUAGAGUGCAGUGGUGCAAUAAGAGCUCACAGCUCACUGCAGCCUCAACCUCUGGGGCUCCAGUGAUCCUCCCACCUCAGCCUCCAGAGUAGCUGGGACUACAGACAUGUGCCACCAUGCCUGGCUAAUUUUUUGUAUUUUUUUGUAGGGACAGGGUUUCACCAUGUUGCCCAGGCUGGUCUCAAACUCCUGGGCUCCUGCAAUCUGCCUGCCUCAACCUCCCAAAGUGCUAGGAUUACAAGCAUGAGCCAACUCACACAGCCCUGAUCUUUGUUAUUUCUUUUGUUCUGCUAACUUUGGGUUUGAUUUCUUCUUGAUUUUCUAGUUCCAGGUGCAAUGUUAGGUUGUUAAUUUGUAAUCUUUCUGCUUUUUUCAUAUAGGCAUUUAAUGCUAUAAACUUCCCUGUGUAUGCUGUGGUUUCAAGAAUCUUUAUUCUUAGGCUAAUUAAAAAAAUGUAGAGCACUUGAAAUUUAAAAUAACUUUUUUUCUGUUUUUUUUUUUUUUUUUUUUUUGUAGAGAUGCUAUGUUGCCAAGGCUGGUCUCAGCUCCUGGCUGCAAGCAAUCUUCCUGCCUCAGCCUCCCAAGGUGCUUAGAUUACAGGCAUGUGCCACCACGCUCAGCCUUUUUUUUCUGUUUUAAAGGGAUACCUGCCAUUUAAAAAAUAUUGUAAAUAAAAAUCCCAGUAAGUUAAAGCCAGAAAUUAAUACAUAAACAGUCAUAAAAGAAAGUCUUAAAGAGACUAAAUUUAUGUAAACUUACAGAGUCAAGAUAGAGUAUUUAAAAAAAAAACUUAAAUCCAGGUUAGGCAAUAGUUACUUAAGACCUCCACUUACAUUACUUUCCACUAUAAACAGCAACAAGGACAAACCCAUAAAUACUAUGUGUAUAUGCUAAAACUUUCAAAAUUAUCACUGCACCAGCUUUCCAAAUUUAAAAGAGGAAACAACUUCAAUUCUCUUAGACACUACAUUUAUUUGACUUAUAUAAGCUCAAAUAUACUCAAACAUACAUUUAUAUAUGCUUAUGUGUAUGUAUGUAUAUAUGUAUGUAUGUCUGUGUAUAUUUACAUUUAUACAUCACAUAAGUAAUAGAGAGGAUAAGUAAGUUUCUGCAAGUUACUUAAGUAGCAGGAUCAGUCUAUAAACCAGGCAGUCCGACUUCAAAGCUCAUGCUCUAAUCACUAUGUUCUGUUGUCUCUGUAAAUAAAUGUCAUUUAAGACGAGUGGUUUGAGGUCACAUAGCCAGUAAAUCAUGGAUCUGUGCUCAGAUCCUGCUCCCUGCUCCCCACUCCCCCACAUUCUUUCCACUCUUUAUUCCACUGCUAUAGUCAGAAAAGAAAAGAAAUACAACUAAAGAGGUUAUUUAGGCCUAAAAGCAAACUCCACAGCCAAACCUUUCCUCCUGUCUGUCCUACACACCAGGAAGAAUCGAAAAAGGGAAUUUUCCUUUACAUAGCUCAAGUUAAAGACUUUUUCAUGAAAAAGUCUAGAUCAUCUCUCUACUGUGAUUUGGUACAUUUCUAACGUUUAUUUUUAUUUUUUAACUUAAUUUUUGUGGAUACAUAGUAGGCGUACAUAUUUCUGUGGUACAUGAGAUGUUUUAAUACAGGUGUGAAACAUGUAACAAUCACGUCAUCUAAAAUGGGGUACCCAUCCCCUCAUGCACUGAUCUUUUGUGUUAUACAAGCAAUCCAAUUAUACUCUUUUAGUUAUUUUUAAAUGUACAAUUAAAUUUGACUAUAGUCACCCUGUUGUGCUAUCAAAUACUAGGUCUUAUUCAUUCUUCCUAUUUAUUUUGUACCCAUUAAUCAUCCUAACCUCCUCCCAAACCCUUCCCAGCCUCUGGUAACCAUCUUUCUGCUCUCUAUCUCCAAGGCCUCUCCAAUAUUUAAACAAUAGCUCAUUCCUCCAUGAAUGAAAAUAUUCACACCGCAAACACAAGCCCACUAACAGGCUGGCUUACCUACUUCUGCAGGUUUGCUGGACAGAGCUGAGAAGGUGAGGUAGGUGACAUAGCAGCUUAUGACCCCUGAUUGUAAGAGCCCCGAGUGUGGCU
rnacentral:lncRNA from 1 species